GCUUGCUGGGUGGAUCAGUGGCGAACGGGUGAGUAACACGUGAGCAACCUGCCCCUGACUCUGGGAUAAGCGCUGGAAACGGCGUCUAAUACUGGAUACGAACAACGGCCGCAUGGCCAGUUGUUGGAAAGAUUUUUUGGUUGGGGAUGGGCUCGCGGCCUAUCAGCUUGUUGGUGAGGUAAUGGCUCACCAAGGCGUCGACGGGUAGCCGGCCUGAGAGGGUGACCGGCCACACUGGGACUGAGACACGGCCCAGACUCCUACGGGAGGCAGCAGUGGGGAAUAUUGCACAAUGGGCGGAAGCCUGAUGCAGCAACGCCGCGUGAGGGAUGACGGCCUUCGGGUUGUAAACCUCUUUUAGCAGGGAAGAAGCGAAAGUGACGGUACCUGCAGAAAAAGCGCCGGCUAACUACGUGCCAGCAGCCGCGGUAAUACGUAGGGCGCAAGCGUUAUCCGGAAUUAUUGGGCGUAAAGAGCUCGUAGGCGGUUUGUCGCGUCUGCUGUGAAAUCCCGAGGCUCAACCUCGGGCCUGCAGUGGGUACGGGCAGACUAGAGUGCGGUAGGGGAGAUUGGAAUUCCUGGUGUAGCGGUGGAAUGCGCAGAUAUCAGGAGGAACACCGAUGGCGAAGGCAGAUCUCUGGGCCGUAACUGACGCUGAGGAGCGAAAGGGUGGGGAGCAAACAGG
rnacentral:rRNA from 1 species